rnacentral:rRNA from 1 species
GACGAACGCUGGCGGCGUGCCUAAUACAUGCAAGUCGAGCGGAAGUUGAAGAGCUUGCUCUUCAACUUUAGCGGCGGACGGGUGAGUAACACGUGGGCAACCUGCCCUGCAGAUCGGGAUAACUCCGGGAAACCGGUGCUAAUACCGAAUAGUUUUCGCCACCUCCUGGUGGCGUACGGAAAGACGGUUUCGGCUGUCACUGCAGGAUGGGCCCGCGGCGCAUUAGCUAGUUGGUGGGGUAACGGCCCACCAAGGCAACGAUGCGUAGCCGACCUGAGAGGGUGAUCGGCCACACUGGGACUGAGACACGGCCCAGACUCCUACGGGAGGCAGCAGUAGGGAAUCUUCCGCAAUGGACGAAAGUCUGACGGAGCAACGCCGCGUGAGUGACGAAGGUUUUCGGAUCGUAAAACUCUGUUGUUAGAGAAGAACAAGGAUGAGAGUAACUGUUCAUCCCUUGACGGUAUCUAACCAGAAAGCCACGGCUAACUACGUGCCAGCCGCCGCCGUAA